CGUUAACGAACGAGACCUCGACCUGCUAAAUAGUUCGCCCAAGAUUUCGAUCUUGGUUGCGUGACUUCUUAGAGGGACUAUCGGUGUGUAGCCGACGGAAGUUCGAGGCAAUAACAGGUCUGUGAUGCCCUUCGAUGUUCUGGGCCGCACGCGCGCUACACUGAUGAAGUCAACGAGUUCAUAUCCUUUAUCGAAAGAUAUGGGUAAUCUUUUGAAACUUCAUCGUGAUGGGGAUAGAGCAUUGCAAUUAUUGCUCUUCAACGAGGAAUCCCUAGUAAGCACAAGUCAUCAGCUUGUGUUGAUUACGUCCCUGCCCUUUGUACACACCGCCCGUCGCUACUACCGAUUGAAUGGC
rnacentral:rRNA from 1 species